rnacentral:rRNA from 1 species
UACGGGGGGGGCAAGCGUUGUUCGGAAUUACUGGGCGUAAAGGGCUUGUAGGUGGCCAACUAAGUCAGACGUGAAAUCCCUCGGCUUAACCGGGGAACUGCGUCUGAUACUGGAUGGCUUGAGUUUGGGAGAGGGAUGCGGAAUUCCAGGUGUAGCGGUGAAAUGCGUAGAUAUCCGGAGGAACACCGGUGGCGAAGGCGGCUUCCUGGACCGACACUGACGCUGAGGCGCGAAAGCUAGGGGAGCAAACGGG